UUUGCUGGGCCGGGAGGGGCCGGGAGUGGAAACCGCUGGCCUGGAAUGUGCUUUCCCGAAUGCUGGCAGCGUAGCUUUGUUUUCCUUCCCGACUUAACUGGAAUGGCUGUUACUGGCUGAAUGUCUUUUGGGAAAUAAUCCUGGCCGUGAUGUGGCAAAUUGGCAUGGGAGAAACUUACAAGUUGGAAGAAAGGUUUGGUAGAGAUAAUGAGCAGGCUCCGGAGAGUACAGAUUUGAAAGAUGUGUGUAAGGUUGAAUCGGAGUCCAGCACCAAUUUUUAGUGACCAGUGAAGGAAAUCGAAGACCAUUGUUGUCUCAAGUGAAAGCCUGGAUGACUUGAAGAUACUGGAGCACCUAAGCUUCUAGCAGAAUGUGGAGUCUUUCCUCUUCCGCUGUCUGGUUGAAGUUUAGGAAGUGGCCCAGCACCACGCCAGUGCCACCCCCUUCCACCUGAAGUAAGAAAAUGCAUGUCCAACCGCGUCACUUCCCUGGGAUACCUCUCCAGGCUCCCCACCUCCCGCAAGGACACAGUUUAUUCUCCAGAAGAAUCCGGUCUGUUUAGUGCAUGCCGUUAUUAGCAGAUGAUACCCUGCACUUAAAUAGCCCCUUUCAUCACGGCUCUCAAAGAAUUUUGGAGGAAUUCGGCACAUGUCUGCUCUCAGCCUGGCUCUGCGGUGCUCUUCUCCUAGCACCUGGUCAGACUAGGGAUGCAACCCUGUCCCAGCGUAAAGCCACUCAGCCCUGUUUCCAUGCUGUGGCGUCAAUGUGAUAGAUAUGCUCAAAUCCUAAUCUCUGGCUCCCGUGAAUGUGACCUCAUCUUCCUGAUCCAACAUGACUGACUCGUGAUGCAAACAGAGGGGACAGCCCCAGGACCACAAGGAGCGAUCACAGCCACGCAUCCACCGGGAAGAUUGAGGGCCCUGUCCAACGUCGGGGCUGGAACACUUUUUGAUGGACUGAUCUCUGAGUUCACACGUGUCUCCCCACUUUUUAUAUUAAACUCAGGCUUUGCACUUUGAUUUUUCCUUACAAGGGUAACUUCCAUGUCACCUUUGGAUCCACACAUCCCCCUGUCCUCGGUGUGCUGAGGACACUUGCUGCCUCUCCCACUUGGGAAUCCCCAGGUUGACAGAGCGCCAGUGGCCUCCCACAUGUCAGCACGGCUAAGUGUCGAUGGUGUUUGCUUUUCUGGCCCUAGUUUUGUUAAGCUGGCUGUAACUCGUCUGAGUCAGACUUCACACUGACUGAGGCAAUAAAUACAGCUUGCUACAACCGCGUGUGCUCUGCAGUACAAAAUAACUCGGGCCCGGGGCUCACCAGGAAGGGAACUGCUGAAAUUACUCUGAGCAGCUAUCAUAUUUCCCCAUAUGAACAUGUCAUCAUGAGUCGAUCCCUGUGGCGAUUGAAGGGCUCUGGAGACCUCCUACUCCAUGACUUCCGCCCCAUUGAUGAGUGUCUGACAUGCCAGGUGCAUGUGUGUAUGCCCAAAAUCCCAAAAGGAGGAAUAGAGGAGAAA